AUUGAACGCUAGCGGCAUGCUUUACACAUGCAAGUCGAACGAGUGGCGGACGGGUGAGUAAUGUAUCGGAACGUGCCCAGUAGAGGGGGAUAACUACUAGAAAGAGUGGCUAAUACCGAAUACCAUUCGAGGGGCCGAUAUCGGAUUAUCUAGUUGGUGGGGUAAAGGCUCACCAAGGCCACGAUCCGUAUCUGGUGUGAGAGGCAGGCCAGCCACACUGGAACUUAGACACGGCCCAGACUCCGACGGGAGGCAGCAGUGGGGAAUUUUGGACAAUGGGGGAAACCCUGAUCCAGCCAUCCCGCGUGUAUGAGAAGGCCUUCGGGUUGUAAAGUACUUUUAGCAGAGAAGCGGUAUCUGCAGAAUAAGCACCGGCUAACUACGUGCCAGCAGCCGCGGUAAUAC
rnacentral:rRNA from 1 species